ACGAGGAGGAACUGGCCUUCUACAAGGGAUACUACGGAGAUAGUUCUGACAAAAAUUUCCAGGAGGCAGUGAGAGGAUCCGUGGGACUUCCGGUGGCUGUGCAGUGCAUCGCUUUGCCCUGGGAAGAGGAGCUAUGUCUCCAGUUCAUGAAGGAGGUGGAGACCUUGGUCAAGAACCAGAGGGAACCAGAGGGAGCCCGAGUGACAAGCCACUCCUUCCCCUGGAGACCUUCCUAGAUCCUCGCCCAAGUCUGCUCCCAAUGCCCCUGCCUUCUCAUGAAUACCAUAUCCGCCUCAUGUCUCCCCCUCUUGGAACCUACCACAUUCCUUUUCUUUGUGGUCCCUCUGUGUGGUGGACUCACAUGGACUCCCCAGAUCAGCCCAACAUGGGGAGCAGUGUAAGGGGCUCAAUAAACACUUCUGACUGGC